rnacentral:rRNA from 1 species
UUGUUCGCAAUGGGCGCAAGCCUGACGACGCAACGCCGCGUGGAGGACGAAGAUCUUCGGGUCGUAAACUCCUGUCGAGCGGGAAGAAACCCGCGGGGGUGAAUAAUCCCCGUGGCUGACGGUACCGCUAAAGGAAGCCCCGGCUAACUCCGUGCCAGCAGCCGCGGUAAUACGGGGGGGGCAAGCGUUGUUCGGAAUUACUGGGCGUAAAGGGCUCGUAGGCGGCCAACUAAGUCGGAUGUGAAAUCCCCAGGCUCAACUUGGGAACUGCAUCCGAUACUGGAUGGCUUGAAUCCGGGAGAGGGAUGCAGAAUUCCAGGUGUAGCGGUGAAAUGCGUAGAUAUCUGGAGGAAUACCGGUGGCGAAGGCGGCAUCCUGGACCGGCAUUGACGCUGAUGAGCGAAAGCCAGGGGAGCAAACGGG